GGCAACCCUUGAGUACAGCGGCGGACGGGUGAGCAAUACGUAGGUAACCUGCCUUUCAGUGGGGGACAACAGUUCGAAAGGACUGCUAAUACCGCAUCCGUCGCUUGGGACUCCGGUCCUGAGUGGGAAAGCCGGGGCAACCUGGCGCUGAAAGAGGGGCCUACGUCGCAUCAGCUAGUUGGUGGGGUAAUGGCCCACCAAGGCGAAGACGCGUAGCUGGUCUGAGAGGAUGAUCAGCCACACUGGGACUGAGACACGGCCCAGACUCCUACGGGAGGCAGCAGUGGGGAAUAUUGGACAAUGGGCGCAAGCCUGAUCCAGCCACGCCGCGUGAGUGAUGAAGGCCUUCGGG
rnacentral:rRNA from 1 species